CUCAGUAUCCAGAAGUGGAUGCCUGAAGAAGGAUAUGAAAGCAGAUUCAGUAAGGAUUAAUGAUUAUGUCUUUUAUUUUCAGAUAUGAACUGGAUGCACAGUGAUGUAUCCAAUGCGGGAAGUAUAAUAAUGACAGCUCUGGGAACUGAGGCAGUGGCUGACAGUGAUUUAAAGGGGCCUGUUGAGAUUUCUGAUGCACUAUUUCAGCACACCAUUAUGAAGCUCCCAUUUGCUGAAUCAGAACUGCUUUUGUACAUCAGCCGUGCACAUGAACGAGCAAAGCAAGCAGGUAUGUACCGCUUGUAA
rnacentral:lncRNA from 1 species